AACGAACGCUGGCGGAAUGCUUUACACAUGCAAGUCGAACGAGUACUUUUUACGAGUGGCGGACGGGUGAGUAACGCGUGGGAACCUACCUUGAGGUAAAGAAUAACUACAGGAAACUGUAGCUAAUACUUUAUAUGCCCUACGGGGGAAAGAUUUAUCGCCUUUUGAGGGGCCCGCGUCAGAUUAGCUUGUUGGUAAGGUAAUGGCUUACCAAGGCAAUGAUCUGUAGCUGGUUUGAGAGGAUGAUCAGCCACAUUGGGACUGAGACACGGCCCAGACUCCUACGGGAGGCAGCAGUGGGGAAUCUUGGACAAUGGGGGAAACCCUGAUCCAGCAAUUCCGCGUGAACGAUGAAGGCCUUAGGGUUGUAAAGUUCUUUUAGUAAGGAAGAUGAUGACGGUACUUACAGAAAAAGCUCCGGCUAACUCCGUGCCAGCAGA
rnacentral:rRNA from 1 species